CUUAGGGAAACAGAGGAGAAGGCGUCGGCUUGUUGGGGUUCGGGUAGAGGGGAAGAUCGGUUGAGGGAUUUUGGCUCCAGUGAACAGGAAAAGGAAGAGCCUAUAGGGAUUCGGCCAGUGCUGCUUUGCCUUUUGCGGAUCGGGACUUGGGGAUGUCAAUCGGAAGAGCAUCUUGGAGACAAGGGGAUCGGGUAGAUGGCUGCAUGGUAAUGUGGAAGCUCUCUCUCUCUCUCUCUGCGGCUCAAAGAGAUCGGGAUCGGGAGGUGCAGUCGGGCCUGGGGUCGGAGUGAGGCUUGACUUCACCGUGGGAGAAGAAGAUGUAAAGUGGAGUGGAGGUUUCGGCUGGGUUCAGUUUCGGGAGGAAUCGAAGGGCUUGCGGGAUUUUGGGAAGGAGGAGAGGAGAUGAGGUCGUGGGAUUUGCGAAUGGCCCCCAGAAGGCUCCAUUUCAUUCGCAUUUUAAAGACGAGGAAGGGCCUCCUCUAGCGGGCUCUGAGCGUGAAUUGUGGAGAAGCGACGUAAACGGCGCCGAGCUACAGGAUUUUGCGGGAUUUCUGCAUGAAUUCGGCUGGAUUUCAGAUAGCUCUAUAAUUAGUUCGUAAGGCAAUUUCAAUUGAGACAUCUGUCGCUGCCAGCAUUCAGCCUUAUUCCAAAAAAAAUAGCUAAUCCUGAACAAAUUGGUGAAACUUGGGAGGAGGUUGAAAUGGUAGACGUUGAUCUAUCCCCUGACCAAACUACAAGAGUUGGCGAACAAAUUAACUCAAAGGUUUGUUUUUCCUUACUUACAGAGCAAUAAACUCUAGAUAAUUUGUUCAAGAACUGCUGUUAUUGAGCUUGAAGACUUCCCGUUGCCUUUUUGCUUGAGAAUUUGAAGUUAUCAUUUCUUGUGGUCUGCAUAUUGUGCCCGUGAUAUUAUUUGUGCAUCCUUUGGAGCUAUUAUCUUCAUACAUUUAUUUUUAAUGCUUAGAAUAGCCUAUGGGUGUAAUUUGUUUAGGUUAUGACUUGACAUCAUGUUGAUGUUUUUAAUAAUUUAGUGAUAAUUUACAUUUUAAAUAAUAAGCAUCUUAGUUAUUUGUACCUUGCUAGAUGAGUUUUUCCUACUGUUUCCAUGCUCAGUAGCUAUGAGAUUUGGUGAUGAUAUCAUGAACGAUAUGUUAAAUCUGACCAUUCAUUUCUUAGAAGACUAAAAUAGAAGCAUCCCUUCAUAAGUUGGGCAUCAACUUAUGGAUGGAUUAGAAGAUUGAAUCAGUUAAAUCCAAUCGUCCUAUCUUUUGAUCAAGUCUGCUGGAGGUAGUGAUUCGUAGAUCACGUCAUUGAGAUUGAAUAGGAUAUCAUCAAGAGUACAAAAUCACGAUUGUAUUAUUAACCAAACAUCAUACGUGAGAAAUUAAGGUCCCAUAAGUUGGAUUGUCGAAUUAAAGUUUAUUUGUUUCUAAUGUUAAAUUAAGGAUUAAGAUGUUUCAGCUGGAAUUAUUUUGUAGAUAGAACAUAUCUAAUUUAUUAUAAUAAAUGGGGAUUCUUUUAUGUUUUUAAUGGAGUUUUUUAAGUAGUGGAUUAGAUGUCAUCUCUCGAUUUUCCCAAAGUAUUGAAACUGUAGUUGCAUUCUCUUUUACAAGAACCAUUGUAGUUGUUGCUCCUGCCUUGCUUGCUUACUGUCGCUGUUGCCUUUUUGCUCUGUUGUUGCUUGUGUUUUCUAUGGUAGUUUUUUUUUUUGCUAUUCUCUCUUUUUCUGUUGACUCGCUCUCUGUGCUGACUAUCAUCUACUCGAACAGUUACUAUUUGCAACUUCUCUAAAAUAAAAAACAACCUUUAUUUUGUUUUUUGCAAUAGUAAAAAAUUUGGCACAACAGCUUAUCUAAUGUGGGAAACAGGUCAAUUUACGAAUUAGUAUGAAAUACUAAUGCUGACAUGGGGCAAAGACACCACUACAUACUCUAAAAUCUUGCCAAACAUAUGAAUGACACAUCUAGGACAAAUGAUUAUCUUGAUGCACAUGCAUAAACCCAAGCUUUCAUUGGCGCAUAAAUAUAAACUUAUACUUUAUAGUCAGCGCUAACAUUUUUUGAUAUUAAAUACACAUAUAUGGUAAUAGCAUAUACCUUUAGUUAUUUGAGAUGCCUAUAUAUUGGUCAUUCAAGUUCAAUUUUACCAAUUUUGCAACAACCGUCGUCAUUGGCCUUAUCCUAACUAUUUGGGUUUGAUUUUGUGAAUCCCAUCUAUUUUAAUUCCUAUUAAUACAUAAUGUCUUAGCUUUAUUUAUUGUAAGCAUAUGUUCACAACUUUAGGACUUAUUUCUUUUUUUGCGACUUAUUUUUCUUCCUAAUUAUUUGACAGUAAUCUCACCCACGCACCUAAUU